rnacentral:precursor_RNA from 13 species
CAGGGUGUCGUCUAUGAUAGGGCAGUGGAUGGUUGAUCAGAGAACAUACAUUUUACCAGUGAUGUAUGUCGACUGAUCCACAGUCCCUGCCUAUCCAGUGACUUCUCAGGACAC